GGGUUUAAGUCCUUGUAACCAAUGUAUAUUAUUGGAACUGUUGUUGUUGGCAGCAGGGCUUGGGGCCAGUUGUCGCUCAGCUGUUGUGAGGGAGAGUCGGUGUGAGUCGCGCUCCCAUUGUGCGGUAUAUGUGAAUGGUUUAUUCUCUCGUCUCUCAGUUGGAUGUAUUUCCUAACUUAAGUGUCUGGCCUGUAAGUAACGACUACACUAGUUAACAUAAUUUUAGAUACCAUAGAAAAAAGUACUUGAACAAAUCCCUUGUUGCUUCAGCUCAACUAGUUAGCUUUUGUUAAUAUAUCUCCACAGCUUGAACCUCCGCUGACGGGAAUAACGCCAAGCCGUGUUUGAAAAUUACUCCACGUGGUAUAAUUAUUGCCUUUUACUGUGAUUCUGUGUACUGUAGGAGUUAAAGCUGCCCUAGAAAUUCUCUAUUGAUAAGACGGAAUAAAGAACCGGUGUGGACGUUCGCCCUCCUCUCCUGGACAUUAUGAAGAGGUGGUGAGGGCGUGGCGGCGUGGGCGUGGGAGAAUAUGGUCUCUGGCAGC